AUGAGUUUCCAGUGUGUCUGGAAGGUGGUUCUGAUGUGUCAGGAGGGUGCUUCCGGGGUGGCUGGCAGUUGGUGCCCGCAUGUCCAGUGGGUGAUUACAGCGAUGCAGCAGGUGGGUACAGCAUGUCCAGGACCUGAUUCUGUCAUGUCGGAUGGUGGCUUUGGCAUCUUUGGGUGGUGGUUCCGGUGUGUCCAGCAGGUGAUUUCAGCAUGUACAGCAGGUUUUUCCACCCUGUGUGGAAGUUGCUUCUGGUGUAUUCAGGACUUGGUUCCGGGGUAUCAAGAAGUUGAUUUUGGCAUGUCUGGCAGGCUAUUCUGGUGUGUCUGGCAGGCGGUUCUGGCUUGUCUGGCAGGUGGUUCUGGCAUGUCCAGCACCUGGUUCUUGCGUAUCCGGUGGGUGGUUUCAUGGUGUCCAGCACCUGGUUCUGCUGUAUCUGACAGGAGGUUCCGGCGUGACUGUCAGGUGUUUCCAGUGUCUCAGGAAGGUGGUUCUGGUGUGUCUGGCUGGUGGUUCAGCUGUGUUUGGCAGGUGGAUCAGUGCUGUCCAGCAGGUGGAUCAGUCGUGUCUGGUGGUUGGUUUCAGCAUAUCUGGUGGUGGUUCCAGCGUUUUCAGAAGGUGGUUGUGUCAUGUCUGGCAGGUUCUUCUGGCAUGUCUGGAAGUGUGUCAGUCAGGUGGUUCCGGCAUGUCUGGAAGGUGGUUCUGUCAUGUCCGGUGGGUGGUUCCGGUGUGUCUGAGGAGUGGUUCUGGCAUGUCCAGAAUGUGGUUCUGUCAUGUCCAGAAGGUGAUGCUGUCAUGUCUGGACUGUGGUUAUGGCAUGUCCGUUGGGUGGAUCAGGGCUGUCUGUCAGUUUUUCCCUUCCUGUUCAGUAGGUGGUUCCGGCGUGCCCAGGACAUGGUUCCGGCAUGUCUGGCAGGUGGUUCCAGUAUGUCCACCACAUUGUUCCAGCACAUUUGGAUGGUGGUUCUGGCAUGUCUGGCAGGUGGCUCAGACCUCUCCAGCAGGUGGUUCAAGUUGUCCAGCAGGUGGUUUAGUCGUGUCUGGCACCUGGUGCUGGCUUAUCUGGCAGGUGGUGCUGGCGUGCCUGGCAGGUGGUUCUGGACUGUCUGCCAAGGGAUGCAGGUUAUUGGGUCCCUGCCAGACAUGAUGGAGCCACCUUCUCGACAUGCCAGAACCACCAAGUGCCAGACACGCUGGAACCAGGUACCAAAUAUGCUAAACCCACCUUCUGAAUAUGCCAAAACCAGGUGCUGGACACUCCCAAACCACCUGCUGGACACAGCCAAACCACCUUUCGGACAUGUCAGAACCACGUUUCAGAAACACCUGGACCACGGGAUGGCCAUGUCUGGAACACGUGCCAGGUGCACCUGGCCUACCUGA
rnacentral:lncRNA from 1 species